AGUAAACUUUCCCAGACUUUCAAAAUAAACACAGAGAGAUCGCAGUGCCCAAAUUCUUUCCCAUACUGCAGAUCGAAAACAAAACAGUCUUAUUACCAGACUCUAGCUUAGACUAAACAUUCAAAACAAAAUGUUCCACAACCGAUUAAAGCCAGAGUAGGAGUCGUGCUAAGGACAUUUAGAAAGAGCAAUCUUGUAUUCAAGGGAAAUGAACUUGAAUACAAGAGAAUUAAGCUUAGCUUUGAGAAAGUUCUCUCAGAGAACAUAAGAAAUGUGAAAGCCCAAAACCAAGGCUUCAUUAAAAAUUAAAACAUAAAAUCAAAUCAGUUCUUGACAGUUCACAGAAUAGUGAAGUUUAGUUUAAAACUCAGAGUUCAGCUUGAGACAUACUACUUGUUCGUAAUAUGUCAGUGAGUUCAACUUAAAAUAGUGUGUAAAAUAGUGGUAUAAUAGAGAAAUAGUGUUUUUUUAUUCAGAUUCCUUAUACGAAAUAUGUUAUUGGCGCAGUCGGUAGGAUUUCAAUAAAAUUCGGUAAUGGUCAGAACUGGACUACUAAACAACUAGUAUCCUUGACCGGCGAAGUGUAAACUUGAGAUCCGCAAAAGAAUCGCGAUCCUUAAUCGCAGAACCGUGACAAAACGUAGUCGCAGACCCUAAUCCCAGAACCGUGAACCGCAAUCGCAGACAUUCACUAAAAUUUUAAAAUACAAAAACAUUUUAUUUCAUUUACAAGUGAAAGAAAACCCAACAAAGACAUUUACUUAAAAUUCUACAAGUAAACAAAAUUUUACAAGUGAAAUAAAUGAAAAAAUGCGCAGAAAACCCAUUCUAAAAUUUUACAAGUGAACAAAAAUUCCACAAGUGAUAUGAAUGAAAUACCUAGCAAAGACAUUUAACAAAAUCUUACAAGUGAAUAAAAUUUUACAAAUAAAAUAAAUGAAACCCAUUCACAAUUUUAUAAAACUCAACAAAGUAAUUCAAAAUUAAUAAAGUAAAUUUUACAAAGAACCAAAACCCAUUUUUGUAAAAUAAAAAACAUUCAAAAGAAAAACUAAAAACUUUGUGAAAAAAUAAAAACCAACAUAAAAGAUGACUUCACCACAACUACUAUCGGAGAUUCAUCUGAAUCAAUUAUUAAGUCAACUGAAGGAGCUACAAUAUUUUGAUGGGACUCCAGGUAGACUAUUCGAGUGCAUCAAUCAAGUGGAGUACUUAUUGCAACUUUACCCAACACCAGACGCGAGACGAGCCCACAUCAUAUUCGGAGCAAUUAGAAGACUAGUAGUGGACUCAGCACAGGAAACAGUGGCACAAGCGGGAGCAAGCAACUGGCCAUCUAUGAAGCAUCUAUGGAGCACUAUCCACAUCAUUUAAGGAUCACCGCCUCUAUGAAACAUUUAUAAAACAUCUUGGAAACACCGAAUAUCGUGGAAGUACCAGUAAGUUCAUAGAAACCAGAGCAAAAGAUCUGUGACAUAAGAGGGGCACAGAGGAGAGAGAUUUUAUGCAGAAUAGAGCGUAAUACUCUGGAUUGUAUAUGUACUUUAAAAGUUGUAAAAAGAUGGUCGUUGAUGGGUAUCCAAGUGGUUGGGUUUGUACGAAAGAGAGCUUGUACUCCAGAGAAUUUGAGAAGUGUUAUCCCGUCAAACUAAUGCGUAAAGGCACAAGAGGUGCAUUUAAAAUUGUCUUCAAGAGUAAAUAGGAUAUGUAAUUAUAAGAAUUUGAGAAGUGUUAUCCCGUCAAACUAAUUAAAGGCACAAGUGCCUUGAAUUUAUCUUGAACAGUAAAAAUGAUAUGUAAUUAUAAGAGUAAAGAGGAUCAUAAAUAAAGAGAUUGGUAACCAA